rnacentral:lncRNA from 10 species
CUCUUUCAGCUUGGAGCCCGCCUCCCUCAGUCUCAGAACAGGGGGAGCCUCUUCCUUCCUUCUUUCUUGUCUAUUAAAUUCUCCACUCCUUAAAACCACUCCACGUGUGCCCAUGUUGUUUUAUUCAAACCAGUGGGAGACCAAGGACCCUAGUGUUCCUCCAGUCAUCAGAGCCAUACCAUUUUGUUGCAUUGGCCGGGAAUCCAAGGUACGACACUCAUCGGAGUGAUGGGUAACAGAUCGUCUUCUCUGCACUCCAACCUGGGUGACAGAAUGAGGCUUCAUCUAAAAAAAUUAAUAUAAUGAAUCACAUUAAUAGAAUAAAGAAGAAAACCCACAUAAUCAUGUAAACGCACAAAAACCACUAUCUGAAAUCCAUUACUUUUCAUGAUAAACUAGGAAUUAAAAGGUGCCUAUAAGCAACCCAUUACAACCCAUGGCAAAAUCUUUCCUUUAGAAUCAGGAAGAGGACAAGAUUGCUCAAAAUCACUACUUUGAUUCAACACUUUGAUUAGCCUGCACAAUACAACAAGAAAGAGAAACAAAAGACAUGAGAAUUAGAAAGAAAAACAAAGCUCUAAAUUAUUCUAGAUUAAUUGAUUAUCUACAUAUAAAACUGAAAACAAUUACUAAGAUUUUUUGCAGAGUUGCUAAAUAUAUAUAAUCAGUAAGGAUCAAUUGUUUAUCUACAUGCAUGCAAUGAAUAACUUGAAAAUGCAAUAAAAGAUGCCACAAAAUGGGGCGGGGCGCGGUGGCUCAUGCCUGUAAUCCCAGCACUUUGGGAGGCUGAGGCAGAUGGAUCACGAGGUCAUCAGUUCAAGACCAGCCUGACCAACAUGGUGAAACCCCG